AUUGAACGCUGGCGGCAGGCCUAACACAUGCAAGUCGAGCGGAUGAAGGGAGCUUGCUCCUGGAUUCAGCGGCGGACGGGUGAGUAAUGCCUAGGAAUCUGCCUGGUAGUGGGGGAUAACGUCCGGAAACGGGCGCUAAUACCGCAUACGUCCUGAGGGAGAAAGUGGGGGAUCUUCGGACCUCACGCUAUCAGAUGAGCCUAGGUCGGAUUAGCUAGUUGGUGGGGUAAAGGCCUACCAAGGCGACGAUCCGUAACUGGUCUUAGAGGAUGAUCAGUCAGACUGGCACUGAGAAACGGCCCAGACUCCUACGCGAGGCCGCAGUGGGGAAUAUUGGACAAUGGGCGAAAGCCUGAUCCAGCCAUGCCGCGUGUGUGAAGAAGGUCUUCGGAUUGGAAAGCACUUUAAGUUGGGAGGAAGGGCAGUAAGUUAAUACCUUGCUGUUUUGACGUUACCAACAGAAUAAGCACCGGCUAACUUCGUG
rnacentral:rRNA from 1 species